rnacentral:tmRNA from 2 species
GGGGCCGACUGGUUUUGACCGGACGGUUGAGGUCUUCUCGUUGCGUGUCGCGGCGCACACACCCGCGUUAACAAGUGUGCAAAACCCUUAUCUGCUAAUUCGCAGUACUCCCUCGCGGCCUAAGCCGUGACGGUCACCACCCGAUGCCUUCUGAGGUGGUGACUGACAAUUAGGAGGCUGGCCCAAACCUGUACGACAGGGGGGAGGGUGAGAAAAUUCUGUCGCGUGGAACUCCGGAAUGCUGUCGCUUGCAGCCCGGACGCCCAAGAUGAAAGAAGCGACUGCACACGGAGAUGCGGCUGACUGAUCCGCCUCGGCACGGGGGUUCGAAUCCCCCCGGCUCCAUUU